rnacentral:rRNA from 1 species
UGCCGGAGGCCAUUGCUAUCGGAGUUCUAUUUAGCCAUGCUAGUCGCACGAGUUCACACUCGUGGCGGAUAGCUCAGUAACACGUGGCCAAACUGCCCUAUGGAUCGGGAUAACCUCGGGAAACUGAGGCUAAUCCCGAAUACGGCUCUCCCACUGGAAUGUGGAGAGCCCGAAACGCUCAGGCGCCAUAGGAUGUGGCUGCGGCCGAUUAGGUAGACGGUGGGGUAACGGCCCACCGUGCCGAUAAUCGGUACGGGUUGUGAGAGCAAGAGCCCGGAGAUGGAUUCUGAGACAAGAAUCCAGGCCCUACGGGGCGCAGCAGGCGCGAAAACUUUACACUGCACGACAGUGCGAUAAGGGAACUCCGAGUGCGAGGGCAUAUCGUCCUCGCUUUUCUGAACCGUAAGGUGGUUCAGGAACAAGGGCUGGGCAAGACCGGUGCCAGCCGCCGCGGUAAUACCGGCAGCCCGAGUGAUGGCCGCUAUUAUUGGGCCUAAAGCGUCCGUAGCCGGCCGAACAGGUCCAUCGGGAAAUCUGCUCGCUCAACGAGCAGGCGUCCGGUGGAAACCAGUCGGCUUGGGGCCGGAAGACCUGAGGGGUACGUCCGGGGUAGGAGUGAAAUCCCGUAAUCCUGGACGGACCGCCGGUGGC